CCCGCGCGGGGUCCGGGGGGGCGGCCGGAGCGGGGGCGCGGGCGGGCCCCUGGCUAGGGGAGGAGGUGCCUAGGGGCUUCGGGUCUGAGGCGCCCACCGAGUACCGCGUGGUCCCCGGGGCGCGCCCGGCCUUGCUCCCAACUCCGUUUUCCGGGCAAAAAGCCAUUGUUCUGGCUCUAAGGGAGGGAAGCGGGACGGGGCGCGGCGGCCGCUUCCUGCCCCCGCCUUCGAGGGGCGCUCCUCCGGGGCGCUCGGGGCCCCACCCUUCCCCGGCUUCUUGAACUGGCUUUUCCUCGGCGGUGGGGGAGUGGCUCUGCUUUGGACUGGAGCAAAACGGGUCGGGGGCUGGGGGAGGAAAGGAAGAUGAAGGCCCGGGGGAGGGGCCCACAAACCCCGGCAGCCCAGGCUUUUCCCCUCAAAAGCGAGAGAGGAAAAUACAUUAACUGAAAUCACCAAGCACUCUAAGAAAGAGAAAGGCCUACUGGAGAAAAUACUGAAGUGUAGGAACCGAUCUUUCCAUUUAUGGCGUUUUCUUCAGUUUCUUUGGUUAGGGUCUCCAAUGGAAGCUGAGGUCCCGUGUUUCCUGAUGCCCCAGGGGCCACAGCAAGUUGCAUGAAAGCCACGUGAGCCACAAGAGGAUCCUUCAGUCACCUCUGAGGACCAUCACCAGGCAAACCGGCCCUUAGAAUAUUAAUAGGGUUUGGCUGUGUCCCCACCCAAAUCUCAUCUUGAAUUGUAGCUCCCAUAGUCUCCACGAGCCGUGGGAGGGAUCUGGUGGGAGGUCAUUGAAUCCUGGGGGUGGGGUCCCCCCCCCCGUUCCUGUGAUUGUGAAU